CUGCCGUAUACUGGGGGAUAACACUUAGAAAUAGGUGCUAAUACCGCAUAAGCGCACAGCUUCGCAUGAAGUGGUGUGAAAAACUCUGGUGGUAUACGAUGGUUCCGCGUCUGAUUAGCUUGUUGGUGGGGUAAUGGCUCACCAAGGCGACGAUCAGUAGCCGGCCUGAGAGGGUGAACGGCCACAUUGGGACUGAGACACGGCCCAAACUCCUACGGGAGGCAGCAGUGGGGAAUAUUGCACAAUGGGGGAAACCCUGAUGCAGCGACGCCGCGUGAGUGAAGAAGUAUUUCGGUAUGUAAAGCUCUAUCAGCAGGGAAGAAAUAGCGACCUUUGGGUCGCCAGACGGUACCUGAUUAAGAAGCCCCGGCUAACUACGUGCCAGCAGCCGCGGUAAUACGUAGGGGGCGAGCGUUAUCCGGAUUUACUGGGUGUAAAGGGAGCGUAGACGGCAGCACAAGUCUGAAGUGAAAUGCCGGGGCUUAACCCCGGAACUGCUUUGGAAACUGUGCAGCUAGAGUGCAGGAGAGGUAAGUGGAAUUCCUAGUGUAGCGGUGAAAUGCGUAGAUAUUAGGAGGAACACCAGUGGCGAAGGCGGCUUGCUGGACUGUAACUGACGUUGAGGCUCGAAAGCGUGGGGAGCAAACAGGAUUAGAUACCCUGGUAGUCCACGCUGUAAACGAUGA
rnacentral:rRNA from 1 species